GGAAGGGGGGGGGUGCUACACAUGCAAGUCGAACGGAGAUACGCGCUGAAUGGAUGGAGCUUGCUUUUGAAAUUCUUGUGUAUCUUAGUGGCGGACGGGUGAGUAACGCGUGAGCAACCUGCCUUUCAGAGGGGGAUAACGUUUGGAAACGAACGCUAAUACCGCAUGAGACCACGGUACUGCAUAGUACAGUGGCCAAAGGAGCAAUCCGCUGAAAGAUGGGCUCGCGUCCGAUUAGAUAGUUGGCGGGGUAACGGCCCACCAAGUCGACGAUCGGUAGCCGGACUGAGAGGUUGAACGGCCACAUUGGGACUGAGACACGGCCCAGACUCCUACGGGAGGCAGCAGUGAGGGAUAUUGGUCAAUGGGGGAAACCCUGAACCAGCAACGCCGCGUGGGGGAAGACGGUUUUCGGAUUGUAAACCUCUGUCCUCUGUGAAGAUAAUGACGGUAGCAGAGGAGGAAGCUCCGGCUAACUACGUGCCAGCAGCCGCGGUAAUACGUAGGGAGCGAGCGUUGUCCGGAUUUACUGGGUGUAAAGGGUGCGUAGGCGGCCCUGCAAGUCAGAAGUGAAAUCCAUGGGCUUAACCCGUGAACUGCUUUUGAAACUGCAGGACUUGAGUGGAGUAGAGGUAGGCGGAAUUCCCGGUGUAGCGGUGAAAUGCGUAGAGAUCGGGAGGAACACCAGUGGCGAAGGCGG
rnacentral:rRNA from 1 species